ACUCCACUAGGGACCAUUAGAGAGUUAAGCCAUUUGAUCAAGGUUGAACCAAGCACAAUCUUUUAAGAAAUGGUUUAAUCUAGUCAAGGUCAAAGUAUGGAAGUAUCCAGCUUGCGAAAGUUGGGGCAGAAGAUGGAUCGGGUUUACAUAGUCUCUUUGACUAUUGCCAACACAUGAUUGAGCUAAUGAUUUACAUAAUUAGGAACUAUUGAUGUGCCUAUAUUUUAUUUCCAGUUGCGCUUUGACUCUGACAGGAUGUAAAACAAUGUUGUUUUAAUGAAAUAGAGUUGAUUCGACCAUAUGUUC